UCCCGUAAACGGCGUAAAGAGUGGUACCAUGCUAUCACAACAACUAAGACCAAAGCACAACUAAGCUGUCAUAAGCCCAAGAUGUGUCUAAGGCCUGCCUUAAAAUGGUCUUAGCACUUUUGACCAAUUUAACCCCACGAAAGCUAAGACACAAACUGGGAUUAGAUACCCCACUAUGCUUAGCCCUAAAUCUUGAUGUCUUCUUCAUACUAGAACAUCCGCCCGAGGACUACGAGCACAAACGCUUAAAACUCUAAGGACUUGGCGGUGCCCCAAACCCACCUAGAGGAGCCUGUUCUGUAAUCGAUAACCCACGUUACACCCAACCGCCUCUCGCCAAAUACAGCCUAUAUACCGCCGUCGCCAGUUCACCUCUCCUGAGAGUCCAGCAGUGAACAUAAUAGCCCAAAUCCGCUAAUAAGACAGGUCGAGGUAUAGCCUACGGGGUGGAAGAAAUGGGCU
rnacentral:rRNA from 1 species